GACGAACGCUGGCGGCGUGCUUAACACAUGCAAGUCGAACGGAAAGGCCCUGCUUGCAGGGUGCUCGAGUGGCGAACGGGUGAGUAACACGUGGGUGAUCUGCCCCUUACUUUGGGAUAAGCCUGGGAAACUGGGUCUAAUACUGGAUAGGACCAUGCUGUAGGUGGUGUGGUGGAAAGAUUAGUUUCGGUAAGGGAUGAGCUCGCGGCCUAUCAGCUUGUUGGUGGGGUAAUGGCCUACCAAGGCGUCGACGGGUAGCCGGCCGGAGAGGGUGGACGGCCACAUUGGGACUGAGAUACGGCCCAGACUCCUACGGGAGGCAGCAGUGGGGAAGAUUGCACAAUGGGCGCAAGCCUGAUGCAGCGACGCCGCGUGGGGGAUGACGGCCUUCGGGUUGUAAACUCCUUUCAGCCAUGACGAAGCCCUUGUGGUGACGGUAGUGGUAGAAGAAGCACCGGCUAACUACGUG
rnacentral:rRNA from 1 species